rnacentral:rRNA from 1 species
AUACGGAGGGUCCGAGCGUUAAUCGGAAUUACUGGGCGUAAAGCGCGCGUAGGUGGUUCAGUCAGUCAGAUGUGAAAGCCCCGGGCUCAACCUGGGAACUGCACCUGAUACUGCUGAGCUAGAGUACGGUAGAGGGCAGUGGAAUUUCCGGUGUAGCGGUGAAAUGCGUAGAGAUCGGAAGGAACACCAGUGGCGAAGGCGCCUGCCGGGACUGAUCCUGACACUGAGGUGCGAAAGCGUGGGUAGCAAACAGGAUUAGAUACCCUGGUAGUCCACGCCGUAAACGAUGUCAACUAGCCGUUGGGGGACUUGAUCCUUUAGUGGCGAAGCUAACGCGAUAAGUUGACCGCCUGGGGAGUACGGCCGCAAGGUUAAAACUCAAAUGAAUUGACGGGG